rnacentral:misc_RNA from 1 species
GGCAUAGCAAAUGUAUCUAGAUCCUAGAUGCUUAAUGGCAGAGCCACCGGGUCCAACCAGACCAAACGUGCCUGCACGCAACGACGAGAACCGGUUGAAGUACGCCUGUGACGCCGGAAUCUUAACGGACGAUUUCAACGCCAAUGACCUCGACGGCGAAGAUUCUAAUAGCACACCAAGUUUUGACUCCGAGAGCUGCAAGUCUCCGCGUCUGGAGGAUCUGGCGGCCAGUUUACGUGUCUUCUCUGAGUCGCUAGCGAGAAUGGAUCUGGCUGAGACAGAGAUGACCAGGGCGAGGGAGACUUGGCGGUGCGAGGCAGAGAAGAGGCGGAUGGAGUUGGAGGCCGAAUUGACUCGCCUGAUGUUGGGGACUCAGUUGCAGAUCGCAUUGAUUGUCGCAGGGAAGGGGCCGAGUAAGAAAAGGAAGCGAGCUGAAGAAAUGGAAGAUGAAUCAGGCAUCUCUCCAAGGCAAAGUCUUGAUCUCUCUUUCUUCAAUCAAAAGAUUAUCUUUACUCAAAUGUGUCGUUUAUUUGUGUGUGCUCGUGACUACAGGAAAGGAGCUUUAUUGCUAAGUUUGCU